rnacentral:lncRNA from 1 species
GCCUCAGUGUCACCGUCUGGAAAAUGGGUGGAUACCAAAAGAGGAGUGGCUUUGAAUGAAUGACACUUUAGUACUGCAUCCUUUUUUCUAGGGUUAGGGUGGUCAUAGGGUGGCGAGCCAGUGUCCUACAUGGGAAGUCCUGCCAGAUGCCAAGUCUCUGCACUUCCUGCAGCAGCUGCUUAGUGGCCAGAGCCCACAUUCCUGAGUUGGGCAUUCAAGGCCUCUGUCCCCAGAUGGGCCCUGUUCGCCAGCCCUUCUGUGGCUCCCUCAGGAUAAAACACCCAGCGGAGUCUCCAGCCCCUGCCUCCUAGCUAGCCCUGCCUCCCUGCCUCUUCCUUUCCUCUCUCACACCUGCCUUUACCUACCUCAGGCCCUUUGAACAUGCUGCUGUCUCUGCCUGGAAUGUGCUGGGUCCUCCCAUCUUCCUUCCCUUCUCUCCUCCUGGAUGAGUCCCACUCAUCCUUCAAGUCUCAGUAUGGAUGUCACCACCGGGAGCCCACCCAAUGCCCCAGACUGGAUCAGGCCUCUAUGCUGAGCCCCUAGCCCUCCUCAGCCCUCCACGACCUUCUCUCCAGGAUUGACUGCUGUGCUUAUCUGAGUGCUGUUCUGUUUCCCCACGAAAGAUGAACGGUCCUGUGUUCGCUGCUGGCUCCCUGGUGCCCUCACAGUUUUGCGAUAAGCAUUUGUUGAAUGACUGAGUGAGUGAAUGAAUGAAGCCUCUGACUUUCCAGCCUCUCCGCCAUUGCUCAACUAUCCCUGCAACCUAGAAUGCCUCAACCACAACGGCCCUUCAAGGACCAGCUCAAAAUGCCUCCUCCAAGAAGCCUUCCCUGGUCUCCACUAGAAACCAUCACUCCCUCCCCUCCACGGCCACUCCAGAGCUGCCCUGCUCAGCAACACAGUGUCCCUGAGGACUCAAGGUCUGGGCCUGUGCCCACUGCGGGACCCAGUUCUGAGCCAGCCCAUGACUCACAUACACUCAGCUGCCAGCUUGAGACCAAGGGGGAAGCAGCCGGUGGAGGAGCUGGAGGAGCGUAUCUGGGUUAUGGGUGCAUAUGUGCCUGUGUUCUGGGAAAGGGCACCCGUUGCCUAGAGCCAGCCACCCUCACAGACGACAGCGUCCUGGGAAAUCGGCUGCAUCUUAAAGUCCAACCCCCUCAUGGUAUAUAGCUAGGGAAACCGAGGCCUCAGAAGGAAGGAAUCUGCCCAGGGUCCUCCAGGUUGGUAACAGCCGAAACUCAGGAUUGGACUUGGGGGUCAGGGGCACUUGGGUUUGAAUUUCAGCUCUGCUUUACCCCAGCAAGUUGUACCUUUCUGGAAAAAAGGGAAAAUAAAAAAGGUUGUGAGGAUUCAAACAUAUCAAGAGUUCAGACAGUGGCCGGUGUGGUGGCUCACGCCUGUAAUCCCAGUACUUUGGGAAGCCAAGGUGGGUGGAUCACCUGAGGUCAGGAGUUCAAGACCAGCCUAGCCGACAUGGUGAAACAUUGUCUCUACUAAAAAUGUAUAAAAAUUAGCCAGGCGUGGUGGCAGGCGCCUGUAGUCCCAGCUACUCGGGAGGCUGAGGCAUGAGAAUCGCUUGAACCCGGAAGGCGGAGGUUGCAGUGAGCCAAGAUCACGCCACUGUACUCCAGCCUGGGCAACAGAGCAAGACUCCGACUCAAAAAAAAAAAAAAGUUCAGACAGGAUCUGGCCACAGCAAGUACUUAGUGGAUGGUCAUUAUUAUCAAUAUUUGGAACUCUGUGUCCUGGGAUACAGGCUAGGAGGAGGAACUGGGGAGGCAGGUGCCCCACACCCCUCCAGGCCAGGCUUUAUCUGUGUCAAGGGUACUUACCAGUUCCAAGCCUUUGCUUCUGCCUGGGACACCACCCUCCUCCCCACUGUUCUAAGUCCUGUCUGCCAACAUCCACUUAAUGUGACCUCCUGGGAAGCUCUUCCUGAUGCUCCCAACAGCAUUGCCCAAUGCAGAGCUACCUGAAACUAUUGUGAUGGAUGUACAACCCUGGGAAUCCACAAAAGCCUACUGAACUGUACAGUUUAAAUGGAGGGGGAAACUGAGGCUGAAGAAGGUGAGAAGGGAGCCGAUGGUUCUCUUCACACCCCACCCCUGCACUCGUAAGCACGCAAAAGGCUGCUCUGUAAGCUGCUGACAUUUGGCAAGGCUGUGAGGCUACACCAGCAAAGCCGGGUGGCUGGGGAUGCUGAAUCAGCAGAGCGACGCCCCCGCGCCCCCCACUCCAGGUCCCGGCCCGGCCCCUCCGCUAAGCUCAACCCUGCCUCCCUCAGGUGCCUCGGUCUCCCCCAGGACUGAAGGAAGUGGUGGAGCAAGGCCCACAAGGGCGAGUGUCCCCGAAGCUGCCUUAGUUUCCCCAUCUGUAAAACGGGACUGGUGACCUGCAGCUCUCACGGGGCUGGCGACCAGCUCGCGGGUGCUCGCCCUGCAUCCGAGACAGCACCUACAACUCCGGACCCACUCGGGGCGGAAUGGGUGGGCUCUUUGUUCCCUUCCGAGACCCCAUCUCGAUUCCCCUUCCAGGGAGGGCAGCCCUGAAAAUGCAAGGUUGCUCCAGCAGCCCCCUCGGGUCACCUGCUUCCCCGAAGCCGUCCUCCUCGCCUUCCGCUCCCGCCUCCACCGGCAUCCCCAGGUCUCCGUUGGGGCCCGACAUUGCGGGCUCGGGCGCCCGAAGGGCCGCGCGACGAUGGAACGCGGCGACCGUCGCGCCGAAAGCCGGCGCCAGAUGGAAGGUGGAGGCGGCGGAUAGAACACGGGCCGGAAGGGUAGAACGCGGCAGCAGAUCUCCGCCCAGAGGCCGGUGCCCCGCCCCUGAAGCCGGAAUCCCGCAGCUCCCGCUCCGC